rfam:Pelotomaculum thermopropionicum MPI_scaffold_3073, whole genome shotgun sequence.
UUUGUAAAGUAGAAGCCGCUCGCUUCUCACCUUAUGACGCAAGGUGCGUAUUUGCAGUCCAUAAGGUAGUUUUAUUAAGUAAACUUUAAGGUAUUUAAAGUAAAGCGGGUGGAUCUACCCGCUUUUGUUUUUAUUU